rnacentral:lncRNA from 1 species
UCAGUUUUUUUUCCAAAACACAUUCAUCAGGUCAUAGUAUCACCACAUAUGGGUAUGACACCCUUUUUGAGGACAACUAAUCCAGCAGCAUGAUGAGAACAUUUUAUCAAUGCUGUUUUUCACCACCACUUCUUGCCUCAUCCACAGAGAACCUAUGGAACUUCAGAGAAUCUUCUAAGAUGCUUUGGAAAAUCUAUCGAGAGUCUACAGAUCUUUGAGUCAUAUCUUCAAGGACUGCUUUCGGGUUGUUCCUUCCUUUCAAGUGAUGGGACAAUGCAGUGCAGGAAUGACACAAGCUAAAGCUAUGACCAGCCCUGAGGAUGGGGGCUAACUGUAGCUGUCUGUUUGGGUGCUGAUUCCAACAGUUCGAGUCAGCUUGUCCAGAGGAGAUGACUUAACUAAGCUGUUUGCUGCACAAUGUCCACAUUGUUGAGAUAUUGCCAUGGUGACAUACUGCAGGCCACUAUUGAGUCGCCCAUCAGUUCAUUACAAGGUUCUUCGAACAGAAGACUGUCAACUGACCUUGCACGUAAAUUAGGCCUCUGA